rnacentral:rRNA from 1 species
UAUGGCUCAGGAUGAACGCUAGCUACAGGCUUAACACAUGCAAGUCGAGGGGCAGCAUUGGAGUAGCAAUACUUCAGAUGGCGACCGGCGCACGGGUGAGUAACACGUAUCCAACCUGCCGCUUACUCGGGGAUAGCCUUUCGAAAGAAAGAUUAAUACCCGAUGGUAUAAAGAGUUCGCAUGUUCUCUUUAUUAAAGAAUUUCGGUAAGCGAUGGGGAUGCGUUCCAUUAGAUAGUUGGCGGGGUAACGGCCCACCAAGUCUACGAUGGAUAGGGGUUCUGAGAGGAAGGUCCCCCACAUUGGAACUGAGACACGGUCCAAACUCCUACGGGAGGCAGCAGUGAGGAAUAUUGGUCAAUGGACGAGAGUCUGAACCAGCCAAGUAGCGUGAAGGAUGACUGCCCUAUGGGUUGUAAACUUCUUUUAUAAGGGAAUAAAGUGAGGGACGUGUCCCUUUUUGUAUGUACCUUAUGAAUAAGGAUCGGCUAACUCCGUGCCAGCAGCAGC